GGGGAAGUACUAAGUAACUGACUUCAAAGCUUCUCGAGUAUUCUUCAACUGACUCUGACCGCAACAUCUUUGCUCUUCAACCGUUCUGCUUCGAUCGAUCAAUCCAGCUCAACACGUGCGUCUAAUCUUCAUUCUGAUCAAGCUCCUCUGGUCUUAUUUGCUUUCUGGGCUUGAUUCCUUUGGGCUGAUCAUCCUCCUAGCAAGUGGUGCAAGGUCCAGCUCUCUUCAUCUCUCUCGCUCUCUGCCCUAGCUCACGGGUGAAGGAAUUGGGGAAAGUCCCCAAAUGAACGCGCUUGCUGCCUCUACUCUCUUUUGCAUCAGAACACCAAAAUGCAUAGCUUCAUUAAGCUGAACCUCAAUUAGUGUUUGCUCAACAACCUCCAUGCAUUAGUGCAGACAACCACCUAGUAGCCCAAUUUCACAAACAGUAGCCCAAUCUUAGUUCCUUAAUUGUGUGACAAAGUUCUAGUUCAGUCGAAUACAUCAGUAAUGGA
rnacentral:lncRNA from 1 species